ACCCUAGUCUCAGUUCGGAUUGGAGUCUGCAACCCGACUCCAUGAAGCUGGAUUCGCUAGUAAUCGCGCAUCAGCCACGGCGCGGUGAAUACGUUCCCGGGCCUUGUACACACCGCCCGUCAAGCCAUGGAAGCCGGGAGUGCCUGAAGUACGCGACCGCAAGGAGCGUCCUAAGGUAAAAACCGGUGACUGGGGCUAAGUCGUAACAAGGUAAC
rnacentral:rRNA from 1 species